rnacentral:rRNA from 1 species
UGAAGGGUUUGAUUCUGGCUCAGAACGAACGUUAGCGGUGUGAAUUAGGCAUGCAAGUCGCGCGUGAAAACCUUCGGGUGAGUAAAGCGGCGAAAGGGUGAGUAACACGUAACCAACCUAUCCUGGAGAUCGGAAUAACCACUGGAAACGGUGGCUAAUGCUGAAUGUCGCCCGUCCGGGGCAUCCCGGACUGUCGAAACGGUGGCGCAAGCUGCUGCUCGAGGAGGGGGUUGCGGGCUAUCAGCUAGUUGGUGGGGUAACGGCCUACCAAGGCGAUGACGGCUACCGGGUCUGAGAGGACGGUCCGGCACACUGGGACUGAGAUACUGCCCAGACUCCUACGGGAGGCUGCAGUCGUGAAUCUUCCGCAAUGGGCGAAAGCCUGACGGAGCGACACCGCGUGCAGGAUGAAGGCCUUCGGGUUGUAAACUGCUGUC